rnacentral:rRNA from 1 species
AGCGAACGCUGGCGGCAGGCCUAACACAUGCAAGUCGAACGAAGUCUUCGGACUUAGUGGCGGACGGGUGAGUAACACGUGGGAACGUACCUUUUGGUUCGGAACAACUCAGGGAAACUUGAGCUAAUACCGGAUAAGCCCUUUUGGGGAAAGAUUUAUCGCCUUUAGAGCGGCCCGCGUUAGAUUAGCUAGUUGGUGAGGUAAAGGCUCACCAAGGCUCCGAUCUAUAGCUGGUCUGAGAGGAUGAUCAGCCACACUGGGACUGAGACACGGCCCAGACUCCUACGGGAGGCAGCAGUGGGGAAUCUUGCGCAAUGGGCGAAAGCCUGACGCAGCCAUGCCGCGUGAAUGAUGAAGGUCUUAGGAUUGUAAAAUUCUUUUAGCAGGGACGAUAAUGACGGUACCUGCAGAAAAAGCCCCGGCUAACUUCGUGCCAGCAGCCGCCGUAACAC